ensembl:lncRNA
CCGCCCGGAGGUGUUGCACAGAAAGAUGGAAAGUUGUCUCCUUUCAGCUCAGCGGCUGGAAAAAAAAAACAACCAAAAAAACCCAACGACCACAAGGAAAUCAAUAAACACCUGUUAUUCCCAGAUCCGUAGUUACUUGGACUCAAAGGUGCCUGCAGGCAAAGUUAAAACAAAACCCCCGCAGAACUCUGCAGCACUGUGUUCCUGCUCUGUGAUUCACGGGGCGGUGGGCGAUGGUGAGCAGCAGAGCCUGGCUGGGACCCCCCCGGCAGUGACAUGGGGGAUGCCGCGCAGCCAGCCCCAUCCACAGGAUGAGAUUUAUGGCCACGUGCCGGAGGUUUCGUGCCUCUGCUCAGAAGUGACAUUUGCGGCACGCUUCUGGGCAGUGUUGCUUCUCCAGCGUUGACCCCAGCUGAGGCAAGGAAGUGGACAAGUGUAAUGUCCACCUCUUUCUGCGAAUUUUCACCCACCAAACAGCUGCUGGGUGCUAAUGCAACGAGGCUGAAGGAGCUUUGCUAUGCAAUGAGAUAUGUAAAAACUUAAUGGAUGCUUACUCGGACUAUUUUAUAUUUUCUCUAUUAUAUAAUAAAGCUCUACAUUUCUUUCAAUAAAUUUGUAACCACACUGAAGAUUGCAGACACUUAGUUUGAUUGAAAGUAAUAAAGGGAGAUUAUCCAUAGGGUUCGUUGCGUGAUGGUUUGGACUUGACCCACUGCCCAGAGAGAUAAGAAUUAAUCUUAUAAACCCCUCCACACUUCCACCCACUCCGAUCUGCCGAACAACGGUGCAGGGUCCCCUCAGCCCCGCUUUGUUCUAGGGCAGCCCAGGGUGGGGAGAGGGACCCCGCUCCAGGGUGGGCUGAUCUGGGUCCUGCGAACGCUACAGGCGAUUUCUGAGUGUCACCGUGUUUUAAGGACAACGGUACCCAAAACGCGCAGGCGGUGCAGCUGGUCUCCAAACAGCGUGGCUGCAAAGGCUGCGCAAUGCCUGGCCUCGUACCGCACCGCACGUGUGCGUGGGAAGCCUGAAGAUGGGAGCUGGAGGCUGAAGGAGAUGUGUGACUGCUGACAAGACACAAGUACUUACGCUACAGACUUUUUAUUCUCUCUUAGCCCAAGUUAAAGUCUCAGUGCCAGACCUGACUCGCACAUGGGCAUAUCUGCCCUGGUCAUUCACGUUACAUCUGGUGGCUUGCACUAGAUGGUUGUUGUAGGUCCCUUCCCACUGAACUGUUUUAUUCUGCUCCAUUUUAUUCAGCGUCCCAGCCACAUGGCUUUUCUUCUGAGGAAAGGCACCAAAAGGGGAAAUAACAACUGCAGCUACUGCCUGUUGACCACUGGGAACUGACUGGGAGAAGCUGAGGGGAGCUUCAGAUAACUCCAGUUGAUCCAGAGCUGCUAUGGAGGUUCAAAUAAUUUCUGCACUCUGAAAUGUUUCCGCCAUUUUUCCUUCCCUUCCCUUCUGCACACAGGUUUCUUCUUUGAACCCUACACUGCCAUGGACUAGUUUUUUCCCCAGGUAUUUUGUGAUUGUCAAAGGUAUUUCCUCUCUCCAAAUGGCAUUUUAAUGAGUG